GGCAAUGCGUCACCCUGCUUCGGCUCGCGCACGGUGCGUGCACCCACUGACCUGCGACCACUGUCUGGCACUCCCUAGUGAGAUGAACCCUGUACCUCAGAUGGAAAUGCAGAAAUCACCCGUCUUCUGCGUCGCUCAUGCUGGGAGCUGUAGACUGGAGCUGUUCCUAUUCGGCCAUCUUGGCUCUUCCCCCGUUUUACAAUUUAAAGGUAAAGACCUUCACAAUCGGGAACCCGUAGAUUGGAUCUUCUGAAAACAUCAGAGAAAGACUAUCUUUGCCAUCCACACUACAGUAAAACUUUGGAGCCUUGAACCUUGGAUUUAUAAUCUCACAACUGAGAAGGGUCCCUCCAUACUCCUGGAACUGUACACCCAUUGGAACUCUUAAGGUAAAACUAACCAGGAAAGUUUCUCCCCAGAAAAAGAUGGCAUCCUUGAUGUGAACAGCUUUUCCCAAGAUCACAGGUCAAAACUUCUACUAUCAUGAGACUCUUACCUUUGAAUAUUUUUACCUUGUUUAUGCCUCUAUGAGCAACAGAAAUGAAAAGUGGGUCUAUAAUGUGCACUUAUAGGGUAUAAUUUUAUUUGUGAAGGAUUUUGCGGGAAGCCAGCCUUAUACAUAAAUAAACUUAUACUUUAAUAGAUAAAAGAUGAAGGCCCAAGGUGGGUGAGAAACUUUAGUGGUACAUAUGUUGACUCAUAAUCAGUCAAAACUCCUCUUAACCCACAUCAUGGAUUAAAGAGAACAUUGCCAGGAGGCCUUCACUCUUCUAGAAGGACAUAAUUUGUUAGGUCCUUUUUCCAUGGUUUAGAAUACAAGAGGCAAUAAUUAGAAAUGUCUCCCUCUUAAUAGGCAUGGGUUCAAAUAAGGCAAACGUGGAGCUGUAGCCAAUCUCGCUGUUUGUGUACCUCACUUCUGAUUCCUGUGUGUCACUUUAACAUUUUUGUCUAUACAUUUUUUCUGACCAGGAGACACCCCUGGAGUCUGUGAAUCUGCUGUGAUUCUGGGGGCUGCCCGAAUCAUGAAUCAUUCAUUGCUCAAUUAAACUCCUUUAAGUUU
rnacentral:lncRNA from 1 species